GAUGAACGCUGGCGGCGUGCCUAAUACAUGCAAGUCGAGCGAACAGACGAGGAGCUUGCUCCUCUGACGUUAGCGGCGGACGGGUGAGUAACACGUGGAUAACCUACCUAUAAGACUGGGAUAACUUCGGGAAACCGGAGCUAAUACCGGAUAAUAUAUUGAACCGCAUGGUUCAAUAGUGAAAGACGGUUUUGCUGUCACUUAUAGAUGGAUCCGCGCCGCAUUAGCUAGUUGGUAAGGUAACGGCUUACCAAGGCAACGAUGCGUAGCCGCCCUGAGAGGGUGAUCGGCCACACUGGAACUGAGACACGGUCCAGACUCCUACGGGAGGCAGAAGUAGGGAAUCUUCCGCAAUGGGCGAAAGCCUGACGGAGCAACGCCGCGUGAGUGAUGAAGGUCUUCGGAUCGUAAAACUCUGUUAUUAGGGAAGAACAAAUGUGUAAGUAACUAUGCACGUCUUGACGGUACCUAAUCAGAAAGCCACGGCUAACUACGUG
rnacentral:rRNA from 1 species